UACUGAAGACAGUACAGUGCAGUACAGGGCAACGAAUCUUAGAGAACGAUCUGCAUGCUGUUAUCUUUAUUGUUUGUACUUAAAACUACUUUCUUAUUUAGUUAGUAUAUUAGUAAUUGGUAUUUGAAGUUGGUAAAUCAUGCGCGGUGUGGAUCCAAGCGUCCUCCUCCUCAUCAUCGUCCUCCUCACCCUCAGCUUCCCCCGCAGCCUGUGGUGUGAGUCACGGCCGACAGCCAGAGUGAAUCACUGCUGCUGACUUCAGAUGAGUCUGAUCAAACUCUGAGGGUCUCCGAGAAAUACACGUUCACUCUCUGAUGAUGGAGACGGCUCUAGAGCUCUGGAUUAUGUGGUUGAAGCCUCUGGAUUUUACCCCCAUCCUCCCCACCACCACCAGGUUGGCCCCCGUCUAUUAACACAAAGGGGGUUGGCUGCGCCCCUGCCUUCAUCAUCAGGCAGGAAGUACAUGAAUCCUUGACCCUCUGGAUGCAAGCUAUGGACGGGGCAUACGCCAAAGAACUAUAUACUUUACCAGUUUCGACAUUGUCACUGACCAGUUGUCUAAAUAAAUGUUCAUUGUCACAUAAUCUUGCCUCCCGAGUCUUUC